rnacentral:rRNA from 16 species
GGAUGUGAUCAUACCAGCACUAAAGCACCGGAUCCCAUCCGAACUCCGAAGUUAAGCGUGCUUGGGCGAUAGUAGUACUAGGAUGGGUGACCUCAUGGGGAGUCCUCGCGUUGCAUUCC